CUAGCCGGUACUCGCGAAUGCUCUAGAUUAGAGUUUGAUCAUGGGCUCAGGCAUGAACGCUGGCGGCGUGCCUAAUACAUGCAAGUCGAGCGAAUGGAUUAAGAGCUUGCUCUUAUGAAGUUAGCGGCGGACGGGUGAGUAACACGUGGGUAACCUGCCCAUAAGACUGGGAUAACUCCGGGAAACCGGGGCUAAUACCGGAUAACAUUUUGAACCGCAUGGUUCGAAAUUGAGAGGCGGCUUCGGCUGUCACUUAUGGAUGGACCCGCGUCGCAUUAGCUAGUUGGUGAGGUAACGGCUCACCAAGGCAACGAUGCGUAGCCGACCUAGAGAGGGUGAUCGGCCACACUGGGACUGAGACACGGCCCAGACUCCUACGGGANGCAGCAAGUAGGGAAUCUUCCGCAAUGGACGAAAGUCUGACGGAGCAACGCCGCGUGAGUUGAUGAAGGCUUUUCGGGGUCGUAAAACUCUGUUGUUAGGGAAGAACCAGUNGCUAGUUGAAUAAGCUNGCACCUUGACGGUACCUUAAACCCANGGAAAAAAGGCCCCACAGGGGUUAAACCUAACCGGUUAGGCGCCAAGGCNAGGCCCCGCCGGGGGAAAUAACACGGCNAAAAGGAGGGGCCAAGNGCGUUAUUAUNCCCGAGAGAAAAAUAGGGGGGGGCGAAAAAAGCGGCGGCCACCAGGGGNGGGUCUNCUCUAAGGCCUGAGANGAAACC
rnacentral:rRNA from 1 species